GGAAGGAUCAUUCCUAAAAAGCGUUGGCUUUUGUCAACCAGUAGCACUGGUCGGAUGGUGAAACUGUUUUACAACAGCGUAUCUAUCUUGUAUCAUAAUUUUAACCAGGAUACGUUUUAAUAUAGACUGAUUUCAAAAGGGUUUUGUCAAAAGAUGGAAUACCUAAUUAAAAUAAACAGCUAUUGGCAACGGAUACCUCGGUUCUCACAACGAUGAAGAACGCAGCGAAACGCGAUAAUUAGUGCGAAUUGCAGAAUUCAGUGAAUCAUCGAAUCUUUGAACGCAAGUUGCGCUCCUGGGUAUACCUGGGAGCAUGCCUCUUUCAGUGUCGGGUAAAACCCACAAGUCAUCUUUGAUUUGGAAAAUGAGUAUCUGUUACAGUUGCUCUAAGCUUUCAGCUCUUGUUGGUUUCAUCUAAAGUCUUAGUGCCAGUUGGUAUUGAAUGAAGACAAUUAACCUUGUUGGAUUUUCUUGCAUAACUUUUACAAAGAUUGAAACAUAACAUGGCUCCAAACUUUAAAUACAAACAAGACCUGAGAGAGGUAAGAUUACCCGCCGAACUUAAGCAUAUCACUAAGCGGAGGAAAAGAAACUAAAUAGGAUUCCCCUAGUAACGGCGAGUGAAAAGGGAAGAGCCCAACCCGAGAAUCCAUCAACUCGUGUGAUGGAAUUGUGGGUUAUGGAUACAACGUCAGUGUAGUGCCCCGGUCUAAGUGUGUUGGAAUGCACUGGCAGAGAGGGUGAGACCCCCGUUCUGGGCUGGGAGACCUGCAUGUACGACUUGUUUUCCAAGAGUAGGUUUGCUUGAGAGUGCAGACUGAAGUGGGAGGUAAAUUCCUUCCAAGGCUAAAUAUAUGUGAGAGACCGAUAGCGCACAAGUACCGUGAGGGAAAGGUGAAAAGGACUUUGAAAAGAGAGUCAAAAGUACUUGAAAUUGUCAGUAUAUAAGCGAUAAAGUCUAGUGCAUGGUUGCGCCAUAUUUCUUGGGUGUUUUUAUGUCCAAGUUCUGUGAGUGUGACUUGUGUCAAAACUGAUUCGUGCUGCAGGAUACAGGCUUUUGUCUGGGUAGACUUCUCUUCGGAGCUGUCGAUGAGAUGAUUGUCAUUAACUGUGGUAUUGAUUGCGAUUUGACGAAAUGGUCUUUAUCGACCCGUCUUGAAACACGGACCAAGGAGUCUAACGUAUUGGCGAGUCAAUGGGUGGUAAACCCUACGGCGCAAUGAAAGUGAAUGAGCAUUUCGGUGUUCUGAGGUGUGCAACUAUUCGGUAGUUACAACAUCGCCCGGCAGUUCAUUUAUGUUCUGUACGAGGCCGAGCCUAUCCGCUAGGACCCGAAAGAUGGUGAACUAUGCCUGAGCAGGGUGAAGCCAGGGGAAACUCUGGUGGAAGCUCGAAGCGAUACUGACGUGCAAAUCGUUCGUCGGACUUGGGUAUAGGGGCGAAAGACUAAUCGAACCAUCUAGUAGCUGGUUCCCUC
rnacentral:misc_RNA from 1 species